CUACCAGUAACACAUGCCUCCGCCAAUUGGCAACAUUCUCAACACUUAUGUACUAUGUGCUUCAUUCCUUGUACAUUCUGUACAUUUUAUUGUAUUGCAAUUACUGUUUGCUUGACACAUAUAGCAACUGUUAUAAAUCAUAUAUAUUGAUUUUAAUAAGUCUUCUGCUGUUGUUAACUCUAUGCAAAGAGGAAAUGUUAAAUGAGAAGAAAUGUUUAAUUUUGGGUUAAGAGCUUGCAUUGGUUACUUGAAUACAUGUGCUUAAAAUCAAAAUCAAAAUCAAAAUAUGACAAUUCACAGCUCAAUUUUGACCUAAGGGGAAGGUUUGUAAGUGAGACUAUUCAUAUCUCUAACUUUCAAGGAAAGUUGCAUCUUUUUGAAUGCAAAUUAUUGAAUUGACAUCAAUGUUGUGCUGUGGAGACAUAUCUGUUUCUAUAAACUAUCGUUGACAAGAAUUGAUUGCUCAAUAGAAAUGUGAGAUUUUUUUUUAGCAUUGUGGAUUUAUUACUUGGAUCAUAUUAUAUAUUUGCACCUAUAUAAAAAUGGAAGGUUGCUAAUUCAGAAUUAUGGUGUCCUCUUCUAUAACUAUUAUUUUUUUGUUGUAGCAGCGAAGAGGUCGUUCACCAGCUUAGAGGCAUCACAAGAGCCAGUCUCCGACCCCAAAGCAUUGCAGAAGACAUAGAAGUAAGAGUUCAUCUUUGUCUUCACCACCUAAAUCUCCUAGUCCCAGUCUCACAUUAAUUGAGCACAAGAAGGCAAAUGAGAAAGUUCAAAAGGAAGAAGAAGAAAGGAAAAGGUAAAAACACAGCAUCCUUUCAAGGAUAGUAAAACUUAACAUUCUUUCCUUUUAAAUCCAAGUGGUCCAAGUCAAUUAUUUGUUGAAGGGAUUUUAAUUUUUUCUAGCACAUAACAGGGUAGCUACAUACGUGUCAAUUGAUAUUUAUUUUUUGAAAGACCAUAAAUAAUCUCGAACAACCAAAACAACAAACAAAAAGCAUGUUUGGGAGUUGUUUAUAAUCGAUUUAAAAUUAUAAAGAUGAGUGGUGAAUAAGUGGAUAAUAUUUGUGGGUCUCACGAAACAUGUGGAUAAAAAGUAGUUUAAACAAUUAUAAAUAGAUUAUAAACUGGUACUAAACAAGGGCUAAGACUUAUUCGCAAUAAAUUGGGGGUUGUACAGAGUUCUAUUCCAUAGAAACUAGAUCACUUCUAUUUUGUAAAGUCUCAGUACUUCAUAUUUGAAUAAUCUCCGAUAUCUGGUAUUGCCAUGUAUUUAAUUAUUUUCCUUCACAAUACUUUCUUUUACGAGGUGUAUCAUACAUGUGAAACAUUCACUUGCAUGCUGCUUUUCUUCUUAUUCCUUCUCAACCUGGCUAGAGGAUAGCUCUUUUAUGUAAUUUUAGAUCAGCAAUUAUUUUGACCUAAGGCUAGAGGAUAGCAAUCUUUUCUCCAAAAAAAAAAAAAACUAAUAAUAAAAAAAUAAUAAUAAUAAAAUAAAAUAAAAUAAAAUAAAAAAUUCAAAUCUCGAUUUUGACUUUUGAGGAUCCUGCUUCAUUAGUAGUAAUAAGAGAAUACAGAUAAACCUGUUUCUAAAAAUCCUUAUGAUCAUGGUGAGAACCUCAUGCUUCUGUGCAUUUACUCGAUUUGGAAUGUUCUACGAUUUGUGUAGUGCCUAUGCUAUCUGUAAUUCGCAUAAAUUCUUACUCCAAUAGUUUAUUUUUAGACUUGUUUGAUUGCUAAAAAUUCCGAGACUGAAGAAGAAAGGAAUUUGUUACACGAGAAUAAGUUUUUAGAUCUAUACAGGAUCCUUUGCUUUGGCUUGGCACAGUAAGACAAUAUUAUUCAUGCAUUGACCCAUAUUUAAAUUAUUGCAUUUUGUACUUGAUGACGCACAAAAUUGAAGAUGUGAUUAUUUAAGAUAUAGACCAUGGUGGUCCUAUAUGAAAUUAUUUUGACCUAAGGCUAGAGGAUAGCAAUCUUUUCUCCAAAAAAAAAAAAAACUAAUAAUAAAAAAAAAAUAAUAAUAAAAUAAAAUAAAAUAAAAUAAAAAAUUCAAAUCUCGAUUUUGACUUUUGAGGAUCCUGCUUCAUUAGUAGUAAUAAGAGAAUACAGAUAAACCUGUUUCUAAAAUUCCUUAUGAUCAUGGUGAGAACCUCAUGCUUCUGUGCAUUUACUCGAUUUGGAAUGUUCUACGAUUUGUGUAGUGCCUAUGCUAUCUGUAAUUCGCAUAAAUUCUUACUCCAAUAGUUUACUUUUAGACUUGUUUGAUUGCUAAAAAUUCCGAGACUGAAGAAGAAAGGAAUUUGUUACACGAGAAUAAGUUUUUAGAUCUAUACAGGAUCUUUUGCUUUGGCUUGGCACAGUAAGACAAUAUUAUUCAUGCAUUGACCCAUAUUUAAAUUAUUGCAUUUUGUACUUGAUGACGCACAAAAUUGAAGAUGUGAUUAUUUAAGAUAUAGACCAUGGUGGUCCUAUAUGGUGCACAAGUAGAUUACUUUGUAAAGAGUGUCAACAUUAAGCUUUGGACAGAGGUGUUGACAUUCCGACUCUGGUGAAGAUGGCAAAGCUAUAAUAUCUUAAGAUGGGAAUUAUAAUGAUGUUAAUAAUUAUUAAGUGAUAUCAAUUAGGAUUGAUUCUUAGUAUUGUGGCUAUACCAUUAACAUUGAUUUUGUAGCACGAAGGUCAUGAUGAAAUAAUUUAAUAAAUAGAUAUGAACGUGUUUUUUUUAUUUCUCGACAGUCAACUCAAGCAAUAUAGGGGUGGGUCUUUAUGCCCAUCGCACUUAUGAGUGAGUGGGGGGAUUGGCAUCAUUCCCUAUUAAAGGAUAUUGAUUGAAAAGUGAAGACACAGAGGGGCACAUGCUACCUUACCUCCAAGCGAGUACAAAUGAGGAUUAAGAAGAAAAAACAUUUAUCAACCAACUAUUUAGUCAACAAUAAAACAAUGCAUUUACAAUGCAAAGCAUCUAUCUCUAUAGCUCAUAAACUAGGAAGGUUUUCCAUUUUUACAAGUUUCUCAUAUUUGUGAUUCGUCCUUAGGAUCAUAGGCAGUGGCAAAUCCAGUACCUGGCGAACACCGAUUGCUUUGCGUGCUAGAUUCGCCAGGAACAAAAUUUUUUUGGUGACAAUAGAUAAAUUUUUUGGAUGAUAUAUCUGGUAAUUCAUUUUGUUUUCAAACAUUUGUUGUAUCUCAGUUGGUUAAAGCACCAUUUUCAAACUUGAAGUCCUGGGAUCAAAUCUCCAUCAAAGCAAUUUAUUGUGCAAUUAUUCUAGUUCAGCAUUUUUUUACCAAGGCUAAUGCAAUAGGGAGGAUUCGAACCUGUGUACGCUCCUUUAGAUUAUGGAAAGCUUGACCAUCAUAGCAUUUGAUGAAUUUUGACACUAAAUGUAAUAGAAUACUCAAGGUCUGCCAUUGAUCACUAGGUUGCUAUAUUUUAUACGUUCUUUCUUUCUUUAAGGCCUGCAUUUGCUAGCCAAUCAGCCAUGGCAUUGCCCUCCCUCCAAAUGUAUGAGAAAGUUACCUGCAUUUUCCUUGACCAGAAGUGAAUUUCAUCUAAUAUUGUUUGAACAUGCCAACGUCCAGUAGACUGUUUAUGAUGAUAUUAUGAUUUUAUCAGGACGAUAAUGAAGUCCUGUUCAUAACGAUAUGAAAGCGUGUUUAGAGAACUAACAACCAAAAUGACUAACAUAAUUGCAUGCUUAUAUUUCUGUUUUGUUUAGCACAAGUGCAUGGAUCAAAAGAUAUUGAUUGAAAAGUGAAGACACAGAGGGGCACAUGCUACCUUACCUCCAAGCGAGUACAAAUGAGGAUUAAGAAGAAAAAACAUUUAUCAACCAACUAUUUAGUCAACAAUAAAACAAUGCAUUUACAAUGCAAAGCAUCUAUCUCUAUAGCUCAUAAACUAGGAAGGUUUUCCAUUUUUACAAGUUUCUCAUAUUUGUGAUUCGUCCUUAGGAUCAUAGGCAGUGGCAAAUCCAGUACCUAGCGAGCACCGAUUGCUUUGCGUGCUAGAUUCGCCAGGAACAAAAUUUUUUUGGUGACAAUAGAUAAAUUUUUUGGAUGAUAUAUCUGGUAAUUCAUUUUGUUUUCAAACAUUUGUUGUAUCUCAGUUGGUUAAAGCACCAUUUUCAAACUUGAAGUCCUGGGAUCAAAUCUCCAUCAAAGCAAUUUAUUGUGCAAUUAUUCUAGUUCAGCAUUUUUUUACCAAGGCUAAUGCAAUAGGGAGGAUUCGAACCUGUGUACGCUCCUUUAGAUUAUGGAAAGCUUGACCAUCAUAGCAUUUGAUGAAUUUUGACACUAAAUGUAAUAGAAUACUCAAGGUCUGCCAUUGAUCACUAGGUUGCUAUAUUUUAUACGUUCUUUCUUUCUUUAAGGCCUGCAUUUGCUAGCCAAUCAGCCAUGGCAUUGCCCUCCCUCCAAAUGUAUGAGAAAGUUACCUGCAUUUUCCUUGACCAGAAGUGAAUUUCAUCUAAUAUUGUUUGAACAUGCCAACGUCCAGUAGACUGUUUAUGAUGAUAUUAUGAUUUUAUCAGGACGAUAAUGAGGACGAAUUGUGGCUUUGUACCUAUUAUAUGCACAUAUGAGAGUUGUGUAUGCAUUGAUGAGUAAUGUUGUAUAGUCCCAAUUGGUUGGAAGGGUUUGUAUAUAUUGAUGUUUAAACAUUAUUGAUAACUGAUAUUAUGUGGAAUUUUAUAUUUUUGGUUGAGUAAUAUGAUUGAGGUGACUGGUUAUUCAUAUUGGAAAUUUGAUUGAUUUUGCUUUGCAGAUGCAUGAGUAUUAUCUUCCAACAUAUGCAUAAUACCAGUGCAAUCUUGCUCUGCCUCUCUUGGUUUGUCUUUAUUAAAUUUUGGAUGUGACAAAUCCCAAAUUGAUUCCAUAAAGUGCUAUAAUGUCAUCAUACAAAUAUCUAUGCCUGAUGAGGUGCAAAAUAAAGGAAAAAUAUUUCCAGGAUUUUUCCAUUGUUGCUCUUUUUGUUGGUGUAUUGCUUAAUUGUAUUCUCCUCACUUGUCAUUAAUUAACCACACGAGUCAAAGAAGUAGAACUUGGAGACUCUUUUUUUGGGUGCAUGUGACAAGUGAGCAUUUUUCAGUUAACAUGAACUUUUGUAUAAACUACUUAUUUUUCCAGAUACUUCUGAAUGUUCAGCUCUUGAAAUCUACUAGCAAUUACAUUAGUUGAAUCAUCGAAGUUAUGAUCUUCCAUUGUGUAUAAUUAUUGAUUUGCUAAGUUUUUGCUGCUAAUUGCUGCAAAGCAAAAUGGAGAGGAACUUUUUCUUGUUACAUUUUAUUCCUUCGCUAAAAUUUCCUGUACUGAAAUGCUUCUGAAAUCAACAGGAGUAAGAUUGAAAGGAGAGAGAAUAGCUUGAUAAGAUGGUUGAAGAGAGCUGCAGAAGGGUAGAAGAGUCUCAGAGAAGAGAAGCUUUGGAGUUCCAGAGAAAAGAGGAAGAAUGACUGUGAGAGUUGGAACUGAUUCAGAGACGAAAGGAAGAAGCAAAAAGGAGAAGAAUUGGAGAAGAGGAAGAGCAAGUAAACCGGAUGGCUUUAUCAGUAAAGAAUAAGACUAGGUCGAAUUUGAUUGUUCUAGAUGGCUCGCUGAGGCUUCAGUUACGGCAAUCAUUCCUAGAUGCAUUUUAUUUUGGAAAUUAGGUAUGUAAUACUGGCAGUUCCCUCAUUCAAAAAGAGUUUAUCACUCGUUGCUGUUCACAGCUGCCAACAAUUCUUUGAUACCCGUUAUCUACCAUUAUCUCAUCAAGCUCUAAACAUUUUUGAUGAAACUGAAAUAUGAAUAUGAGCGGUAAUUUAAAGAGGUUCGACUGUAUUUGACUCCUUAAUAUGCGAGUUUGAUAUGUUGAGCUGUAUGGGAUAUAUGAUUAACAUGAACGUGAAAUAAUUGUCUAUUGUCGUAUUUAACUCUUUCCGUUCCAGCUUGCCUUACACGUGUAAUUAAUACAUAUCAUGCGGUAUACUAUAAUAUGUGUCAAUUUUGACUAGUAAUAAAAUGAAUGAAUUCUUAUAACUAUAUAUAGGCUUUGGACGCAAAACAUGUGUAUACCGCUCAAAGUUUAUGUAGUGAUCGAUGAAUAAAACGACAGAUAAGAAGCAUGCCUGGUCGUGAAGUUCAUAUUUGAUCUGGAUAUUUUCAAACUUCAAGUAAAU
rnacentral:lncRNA from 1 species